rnacentral:tRNA from 2 species
CUGAAUAGGCGGGCCUCGAUCCCACG